rnacentral:rRNA from 1 species
UAGUCUGACUCUGUGACGAGACAUGAGAGGUGUAGCAUAAGUGGGAGGCCGUGAACCCUCGUGGUUGUGUCGUGCCGACAGUGAAAUACCACUACUUUCAUCGUUUCUUUACUUGCGCGGUGAAGCGGAAAGCGGACGAUAAGUGUCCACGCUUCUAGCACUAAGUGCAAGGCCCGUGGCAAGGCCACGAUCUCUUCUUCCUCUACUUGCCACGGCUAUAUCCUGGUCGG